UUGUUGAAAUUCAAAAUUAACGGCGGCGGCUGUUGUGUUAGGAAAAGCAACAGAGAAAGGGUGAUCUCCAAUAGGCCCAGCAGGUGGCACUGUUCCCUAGAACAGUGCAAGAACACAGGUAGGUAUCCACAGUUCCCUCUGGUGGACACUAGUCGCAGUUGCAGCCCCACAGGUAAGUAUAUACAGUGUCCUAGUUUUUGCUGCCCUCAAUGCAUUAGCAAUUUGUAAUCCUUUGUCUGCUUUUACAGGGUCCUUAAUUUUCCCUGCUGGAGGAGUGGCUGGCUGUUGACCACUCUGUCCCUGGAGCUGUGCUUUUUUUUAACAGCCAGCCUGGUGUGCUCACAAAUUAAUAAACAGUUUGCAACACGUUUGCUUCUGUGUGUUUGUUGAAAACCAAAUAACAACAGUCCUUAAACACUGUGACUUUUGGGCGUUUGUUUGAGUUCACUCAUGACUCGCUCCCUGCGUGUAAAGCCCUGGCUGCACACAUGCACAGGGGCAUCAAAGUAUUCAGAGUCCCGGUACUGCUUUAAACACAGCGUUUCUUCACCUGCUCAAUGUUCUCAUCAGUAAUUUAAAACACUGUUCUGUAUUUUAUUUUUGACUACCACAGGAUAUUUUAAAAUCACACAUUUCCGCUGUCAUGGCGAGCAGUGCAGAUUGUAAUUCCACUCGGCUGUACCGAUACUCCCACAAACUCACUGUUAGGUUAGUCCCGAUCCAGUUCACUAGAGAAAUCAGGUUUUACUCAGCGGUGAAAACUUUCUUUUCACUUCACAGAAACAGAAAGUAGUUUAAAUUCUGUUUACCUCUCGAAUGCUGCUAUCCAAGCUUACUGUCACUACCUUCUGUUUGUGUUGUGAGCCCAACACUUUGAUUCCUGAUUUAUUUUUAUUUAUUUAUUUUUAUUUAUUUAUGAUUGGUUAAAUCUCCCUAUUGUCCUAAUGAAUUCCCCUAUAUAUCUGACCCUACCCUUAUCUAUUGUAUUACCACCCCCUAUGCCACCCCUAAAAACAUUAUUCUGAAUACUCAAAGCCCUCAACUCUUCCCCUACCUCUAAUCUCACUUCCCUAUAUCUAGCACAUUCAACCAUCAUGUGUUCCACAGUUUCCAUAACCCCGCAUCUCACACAUAACCCAUCCUCAUGCGCUCCAAUUCUAUAGAAAUGUUCAUUUCCCUCUUACGCCCUCUAGUCCCGCGGGCGGAACACGGAACUGCAUGUAAACAUUAUAUUUCAUAACUCAUUUGUAAUAUUAUUACAAAAGCAAAAGAGAAAAAAAAGCUGACUCAAUAUCAAAAUCGUUGUUUUCCUACCGUCAAACCGCGAAGGAAUUUUUCGAAUCCGUCAUUUCACCGCUGAGAUAUCCCAUUCACAAUGUGUCUAUUACCCCCAUGCUACCAAAACAACUGCGAUCGACUAGCUUGCGUUUUGCUGCUCUGGUCUUACAACCUUGAUGACGGUGAAGUCUCCCUGAUCACGUUGUAGGGGAGGUCACAAGCGUUCCAUUCAUACAGGGAACCAGGGAGAGAGGCAGAUAGAUAAGUUCCUGCUUUUUGUAAUUGUAACUACUACAUUUGGUGACAUUGUAAGGUGGUGUUUGAAUUGGCUGAGUUUGUGUGUGAUUAGUACCAGGUGAGUGGCUAAAUUGAUUAGCAGUUGAUUUUGCUAUUUGAUUGGUUUCCACACAGUUUAGUUGGUUCUUUUGCCAAGCAGGGGUAACAACAUUUAUUCAAGCAGCUUAUUUUAGCGCCAGCACGAAGCGCCAGCCAACAGAAGAGCCUCAACAAAAGAGCCGGGAGUCUAGCUGUGGGAGUCUACAGGUAACCAGGUAACCAGGUAACCAGCAUCUGAAGCAAGAUAGGUAUUUGAUCCUGCUCCUAGUAAUUUUUCCAUUAACUAUAUAGUAUCAUUAUCUGGUGUUUCUAAUUGGGGAGGAGUGUGUGAUUUUAUCCCAGGCAGUGUGCUUAUUUUGAGUACUUAAUUUGUAAUUUGUAAAUUUGAAUCAGGGUGGGUUAACUUGAUUAGAGCAGUUUGCAUUUGAAUUGGUCUCCACACAGCUCCUGCAGUUGUGUGAUCCCAUCAAAGUGUGUGAAACUAUUGUCUCCAGAGCAGUUAGCAGCUAGUUCCCUUGCUAAGUGAAGGGAGUUAUUUAAGAGUGGGCAUCUGGUAAUUGGUUCAGUCUACAGGGAACCAGGGAGAGAGGCAGAUAGAUAAGUUCCUGCUUUUUGUAAUUGUAACUACUACAUUUGGUGACAUUGUAAGGUGGUGUUUGAAUUGGCUGAGUUUGUGUGUGAUUAGUACCAGGUGAGUGGCUAAAUUGAUUAGCAGUUGAUUUUGCUAUUUGAUUGGUUUCCACACAGUUUAGUUGGUUCUUUUGCCAAGCAGGGGUAACAACAUUUAUUCAAGCAGCUUAUUUUAGCGCCAGCCAACAGAAGAGCCUCAACAAAAGAGCCGGGAGUCUAGCUGUGGGAGUCCAGCGAGGGGAGGCCUGCGCUGAGACGCUGUUCCAAUAGAUCCAAACCUAACAGCGCUCUAGAAGAAGCCAUCUACUAGUCAGCUAAGAACCUUGGAGUCACCCUGGACCCCUGCCUCUCUUAUUCCCAGCACAUCUCCACUCUGGCACGCACUUGCAGAUUCUUCCUGAGCAACAUCCGAAGAAUCCGACCCUUCCUCACCAACUAUGCUACCCAGCUCCUGGUCCAGGCCCUGGUACUCUCCCGCCUAGACUACUGCAACUCCCUCCUGGCUGGCCUCCCUGCGUCCGCCACCCGUCCGCUCCAGCUCAUCCAGAACUCUGCUGCUCGCCUGGUGUUCUCUCUGCCUCGCUUCGCCCACGCUACUCCACUACUCCGCUCGCUCCACUGGCUCCCGAUCACCGCUCGCAUCCAGUUCAAGACUCUUGUACUAGCCUACAGAUGCCUUGAUCAGACUGCACCCAGCUACCUCCAGACCCUCAUCUCUCCCUACACCCCCACUCGACCUCUCCGCUCCGCCUGCACUAGAAGACUGGCUCUACCUCCGCUACGCUCCCCUGCCUCCCGAGCCCGCUCCUUCUCCACCCUUGCUCCGCAGUGGUGGAACGACCUUCCUACAGAUGUCAGGACUGCCCAGUCCCUGACCACAUUCCGGCGCCUCCUUAAGACUCACCUCUUCAAACAGCACCUGUAGAACUCCUCUGUUGUAUCCUGGGACACUAUCACCCUUCAUUUAAAUAUGCUUUAUUUUGCUCUUAUCUGCCCCCUAUUUUACUGCAUUUAAUCCUGUACCUCAGAAUAUUGUAAUCUGCCAAGUGUUUAAUCUGUAGUAUUUUGUACUUAAUCAUAUCCUGAUGUAACUAUCACUCUUUAAUCAUAUCCUGAUGUAACUUUCAUUUAUCUGCUGUAU